AACGAACGCUGGCGGCAUGCCUAACACAUGCAAGUCGAACGAGACCUUCGGGUCUAGUGGCGCACGGGUGCGUAACGCGUGGGAACCUGCCCUUAGGUUCGGAAUAACUCCCCGAAAGGGGUGCUAAUACCGGAUAAUGUCUUCGGACCAAAGAUUUAUCGCCUUUGGAUGGGCCCGCGUUGGAUUAGCUAGUUGGUAGGGUAAAAGCCUACCAAGGCGACGAUCCAUAGCUGGUCUGAGAGGAUGAUCAGCCACACUGGGACUGAGACACGGCCCAGACUCCUACGGGAGGCAGCAGUGGAGAAUAUUGGACAAUGAGCGAAAGCCUGAUCCAGCAAUGCCGCGUAAGUGAUGAAGGCCUUAGGGUUGUAAAGCUCUUUUACCCGGGAUGAUAAUGACAGUACCGGGAGAAUAAGCUCCGGCUAACUCCGUG
rnacentral:rRNA from 1 species